rnacentral:lncRNA from 1 species
UUCAAAAACUAGGUCAAACUAAACACAUUUUAUAAUAAAAUUAAAAUAAAAUAUCAAAACAAAUAGAAAAAUAAAAUAAAAAAUAUAGAAAAUUAAAUAACAUGCUAAAAUAUAAUUAUCAAUUUUUGGAAAAUUUUUGGAGCAUUAGGAAUAUUAAAAUAAAAUCAGAAUAGAAAAAUAAAAUAAAGUUAAAGGAAUA